rnacentral:rRNA from 1 species
GAUGAACGCUGGCGGCGUGCCUAAUACAUGCAAGUAGAACGCUGAAGCAGGAGCUUGCUCUUCUGGAUGAGUUGCGAACGGGUGAGUAACGCGUAGGUAACCUGCCUGGUAGCGGGGGAUAACUAUUGGAAACGAUAGCUAAUACCGCAUGACAACAGUUAUUGCAUGAUAACUGUUUUAAAGGGGCAAAUGCUCCACUACCAGAUGGACCUGCGUUGUAUUAGCUAGUUGGUGAGGUAACGGCUCACCAAGGCGACGAUACAUACCCGGCCGGAGAGGGGGGAGGGCCAAACUGGGACUGGGACACGGCCCAGAAUCCUGCGGGAGGCAGCAGUAGGGAGUCGUGGGUAAUGGACGGAAGGCUGACCGAGGAACGACGGGUGAGGGAAGAGGGUUGUCGGAUCGUAAAGCGCUGAUGUAAGAGAAGAACGAGUGUGCGAGUGGAAAGUUCACACUGUGACGGUAUCUUACCAGAAAGGGACGGCUAACUACGUG